UACGUAGGGGGCAAGCGUUGUCCGGAAUCAUUGGGCGUAAAGCGCGCGUAGGCGGCCCGGUAAGUCCGUUGUGAAAGUCAAAGGCUCAACCUUUGAACGCCGAUGGAUACUGCCGGGCUAGAGUCCGGAAGAGGCGAGUGGAAUUCCUGGUGUAGCGGUGGAAUGCGCAGAUAUCAGGAGGAACACCAAUAGCGAAGGCAGCUCGCUGGGACGGUACUGACGCUGAGGCGCGAAGCGUGGGAGCGAACAGG
rnacentral:rRNA from 1 species